rnacentral:misc_RNA from 1 species
UCCGGUUUGGCACCGGCAGUCCUCCCAGAGUCCCCGCCUUGACGCGCUGGCAACUGGGAGCGGGGGUUGCGCUCGUUGCGGGACUUAACCCAACAUCUCACGACACGAGCUGACGACAGCCAUGCAGCACCUGUCUAGCGGUCCCGAAGGACCGCCCUCGUUUCUGAGGACGUUCCGCUAGAUGUCAAGCCCUGGUAAGGUUCUUCGCUUUGCAUCGAAUUAAGCCACGCGCUCCGCCGCUUGUGCGGGCCCCCGUCAAUUCCUUUGAGUUUCAGCCUUGCGGCCGUACUUCCUAGGCGGGGCACUUAUCGCGUUAGCUGCGGCACUGACGGGGUCGCUCCCCCCAGCACCUAGUGCCCAUCGUUUACGGCGUGGACUAC